rnacentral:snRNA from 1 species
GCUUUGGCAGCACAUACUAGAAUUGGAAUGAUACAGAGAAGAUUAUAAUGGUCCCUGCGCAACGAUGACACGCAAAUUCAUUGCAGAUGGAGAUUUGA